UACAGAGGGUGCGAGCGUUAAUCGGAAUUACUGGGCGUAAAGCGUGCGUAGACGGUUAUCUAAGUCGGAUGUGAAAGCCCCGGGCUCAACCUGGGAAUUGCAUUCGAGACUGAAUAGCUAGAGUGCGGUAGAGGGAAGCGGAAUUUCCGGUGUAGCGGUGAAAUGCGUAGAUAUCGGAAGGAACAUCGGUGGCGAAAGCGGCUUCCUGGACCAACACCGACGCUCAGGCACGAAAGCGUGGGGAGCAAACAGG
rnacentral:rRNA from 1 species